AUGGCAGAAUGCCAUGCAUUAAGGGUGAUGGAAAAUAGCUGGUGGCAGUGGGGGACAGAAGAUGUCUGGAGGAGGUGGCUCAGGCUUUUGUCGCAGUGUGAAGAGAGAUGUGACCUGCAGCAAGCUCUGUCCAUUGCCAGAGGCAUGGUGCUUUGUCCAUCCUGGAUGAGUUUUCCUGGCCUAUCUUCCCAGCUGCCAGAAUGGCUGUACUGGAGAGGUGAAGACUGCACUAUUAGGGAGGGGGAGGGAGAGGUGUUGUUCUGAUGGGAUGGGACUGCAUGUCCUGGGGCUGGUGGCGUGCCAGCAACAGCAGGUGUCCUUUGCUGUCCACUAUCCUCCACCUGUUACCCUAAAGAGAAUUUCUCUGGGCACUCUCCUCUCCUCCCUGCGCUGAUAGUUGAGCUAUUUAUUUGAGUUGUAAUUGAAACAGGCAUGUUGGGGAUUUUAAGCCCCUGCCCAUUUCAGGGGUAAGGACAGUGAGACGCCUUUGCUACCUUCUCUUCCUUUGCUCCCCUGAUAACAUGCUAAGAGCUUCAAUGACAGAGGAUGUUUCUGAUAGCUCAGGCUGAGUUUGGUUUUGUUUUAUUUUGGCUGAGUAGCAGCUAAAGUUUUCCCUUUCCACUACUGAGCAGUUGAGCCUCCUCCUGAAAUCACAACUGCAAUCCAUUUUCUCUGUUAAAGCAGCAAUGAUGCAAUAGUGCACAGCAUAGCACAGAGCAGUGCCUAGGAGGCAACACUCACAAUUUCUUCUGUUUGCCAAGUUUCUUCUGUUUGCCAAGUCAUACUGGGAGUUGUAACUUAAGGCUAAAAACCCUCCACAGGGUGUGGAAGGCCUGUCUGUGUGUCAAGCAUCUUUGCGUCUCCUUUUAGAUGGCACUGAAUAGUAGAAGGCUAUUUUCCUUUUCUAGCAUUAGGGGGAGCACAGCUGUUAAGAGAAAGAUACUACAUGGUAAAAAAAAAAAAAAAAGAAAAAGAAAAAAGAUACAAACUAGAAAAAAGUUCUGAACCUUAUGAGUCCAUUUAAACCCUGUCCUUACACAAUGGUCUGUUUAUAAUCCCUGUGCCACCAGUAACAAAGUGUCUGCAGGCACCCAGGACUGUAGGACCUUGCUACCAGAGAUGUCAGGCAAAGAGGAGGAAUAGAAAUGGACAGCCUGCUAAUUUUUCAGUCCCCUAGAAAGAAGCAAAUAAAACUGAGUGACAUUAACA
rnacentral:lncRNA from 1 species